GACGUAGGGCGCGAGCGUUGUCCGGAUUUAUUGGGCGUAAAGAGCUCGUAGGCGGCUUGUUGCGUCGACCGUGAAAACCCGGGGCUCAACUUCGGGCUUGCGGUCGAUACGGGCGGGCUAGAGUUCGGUAGGGGAGACUGGAAUUCCUGGUGUAGCGGUGAAAUGCGCAGAUAUCAGGAGGAACACCAGUAGCGAAGGCGGCACUCUGGGCCGGUACUGACGCUGAGGAGCGAAAGCGUGGGGAGCGAACAGG
rnacentral:rRNA from 1 species